rnacentral:sRNA from 1 species
AGGGGAUAACGAUUUAGAUUGCAAAGGGGUAGGCUAUUACAUAUAGUUUUUGUUACAUAUCUAAUCGCGCAAGUUACUAUUCAAACAUCUUCAAUAUUUAUUACUUACUUUCCUUUCUAAUGCCGACUAGUAUUGCUAGUCGGUUUUUU